rnacentral:rRNA from 1 species
CAGUGGGGAAUAUUGGACAAUGGGCGCAAGCCUGAUCCAGCCAUGCCGCGUGAGUGCUGAAGGCCUUAGGGUUGUAAAGCUCUUUCACCGAUGAAGAUAAUGACGGUAGUCGGAGAAGAAGCCCCGGCUAACUUCGUGCCAGCAGCCGCGGUAAUACGAAGGGGGCUAGCGUUGUUCGGAUUUACUGGGCGUAAAGCGCACGUAGGCGGUUUGUUAAGUCAGGGGUGAAAUCCCAGAGCUCAACUCUGGAACAGCAUUGGAGACUGGCAAGCUAGAGUCCGGAAAAGCUAAGUGGAACUCCGAUUGUAGAGGUGGAAUUCGUAGAUAUUAGGAAGACCACCAGUGGCGAAGGCGGCUUACUGGUCCGGAACUGACGCUGAGGUGCGAAAGCGUGGGGAGCAAACAGGAUUAGA